GUCCCCGGGCUUCUCUGGGCUUCGGCUUCCUCGAGUGUAAACGGUUAGGAAUGGAGCAGCAGGGAACUGGCCCUGGCGAUGGCACUUGCUGUGGGGUGUUGGGCAAGUCACGUCCUAUUUUUAGGCUUCGUUCCUCAUCUCAGUGUGAAGGGAUUGGACUAGAUGGCCUCUCCGUUCCCUUCUAGUUCUUCCUAACUGUGAAACAGCCUUGAUAAUACGUGUGAAGCUUCCUUGUAAAUGUACACUUUAAGCGAUCUGGGCGGCAGUUCCGGGCCACCUGCCCCUGCAGAUGCUUAGCGUGUGACCCCUGGGGUAGCCCACCUCCUUCUCUGACCACUACCUUACACUCUGCCUGGAUCCAUGUAAUUGAAGGAAGCACACUAGUUCCCUUGCUCACCUGCUCACUUGCUCCAGCUGCCACUUCAUUUCUUGGAUACUAUGCAUGGAAUUGGGAUAAAGAAUGGAAGGACAGACAGGGAAGAACAGAGUGGGGCAAUUCUGUGAAGGGAAUAGUGUGAGAAAACUGACAUUAAUAACCGAGCACCUGCCAGAGUCUGAUUUGAACACAAGGCGCUGUGAUUCCAGGGCUCCGAUCUUUUCCUCUCCACACUGCACCUCUGCUUUUGGAAACUUUUUCUGGGAAUUCCAAACCAAAAGUUUCAAAAACCCAUGAUGUCCCACGUGGCUGGCUCGUUAGUUCCCAGUUGAAGAGGCUGUGCAAAAUCACCUAAUUCCUGCAGCAGGAUAAAAAUCAAUAAUGAAUGGUGCUGUCCCAGAAUGAACACCAGCCUUGCUUAAAGAAAGGGAUCGCGUGACCUUAAAAAGAAGCGAGUUUGCAGACAUCCAAAGAAAGUCACUGGAUAUAUGUUUUAGG